rnacentral:misc_RNA from 1 species
GUGUGCUUCAAGCCAGCUGGGUCUAUCUCGUCAUCCGAGAACAUGAUGAAAUUUAAUGCCUGAAUUUGUCCGAUAAUCUUCUCAAAUUGUCCCUGCGUGAUGUUGCAAGUCACAAAGGCCUGAUUUAUAACCCUCUGUAAUGCUUGGUGAUGCACAUCCGAUCUCAAAAUUAGUGACAGUAAUAAAAUAAUAGCAGGUUUUCUCUUCAAUUGCUCAAUUACAUAAUAUUCGUUUUGCUUCAUUAUCUGCAAGAGUAGCUCAUCUUCAUCCUUCUUUUUCGGUUGAUUCUCCUUUAUCUGUUUCCCUAGCACCCUCAUCACCAUUCCUCACCACUUCUUCCACCUUUCCCUUUCCUCUCUUGUUUCCUGGUUCGUCUGGGCCGUAACACCUCCCACUUCUGGUAAUACACU